GCAGUCGAGCGGUAGAGAGGUGCUUGCACCUCUUGAGAGCGGCGGACGGGUGAGUAAAGCCUAGGAAUCUGCCUGGUAGUGGGGGAUAACGCUCGGAAACGGACGCUAAUACCGCAUACGUCCUACGGGAGAAAGCAGGGGACCUUCGGGCCUUGCGCUAUCAGAUGAGCCUAGGUCGGAUUAGCUAGUUGGUGAGGUAAUGGCUCACCAAGGCGACGAUCCGUAACUGGUCUGAGAGGAUGAUCAGUCACACUGGAACUGAGACACGGUCCAGACUCCUACGGGAGGCAGCAGUGGGGAAUAUUGGACAAUGGGCGAAAGCCUGAUCCAGCCAUGCCGCGUGUGUGAAGAAGGUCCUCGGAUUGUAAAGCACUUUAAGUUGGGAGGAAGGGCAUUAACCUAAUACGUUAGUGUUUUGACGUUACCGACAGAAUAAGCACCGGCUAACUCUGUGCCAGCAGCCGCGGUAAUACAGAGGGUGCAAGCGUUAAUCGGAAUUACUGGGCGUAAAGCGCGCGUAGGUGGUUCGUUAAGUUGGAUGUGAAAUCCCCGGGCUCAACCUGGGAACUGCAUUCAAAACUGUCGAGCUAGAGUAUGGUAGAGGGUGGUGGAAUUUCCUGUGUAGCGGUGAAAUGCGUAGAUAUAGGAAGGAACACCAGUGGCGAAGGCGACCACCUGGACUGAUACUGACACUGAGGUGCGUAAGCGUGGGGA
rnacentral:rRNA from 1 species